rnacentral:rRNA from 1 species
UCUGGCUCCCUUGGGGGUCCGAGUUGUAAUUUGCAGAGGAUGCCUCGGGUGCGGGUUCCUUCCGAGUUCCCUGGAACGGGACGCCAUAGAGGGUGAGAGCCCCGUCUGGUCGGAAACCCAGCCCGUGUGAGGCUCCCUCUACUAGUCGAGUAGUUUGGGAAUGCUGCUCUAAGGGGAGGUAUACUCCUUCCAAGGCUAAAUACCGGCUAGAGACCGAUAGCGCACAAGUAGAGUGAUCGAAAGAUGAAAAGCACUUUGAAAAGAGAGUCAACCAGCACGUGAAAUUGUUGAAAGGGAAGCGCUUCAUACCAGACUUGGGUUCGGCGGUUCACCAGGUGCCACGCGCCGGGGCACUCCGCCGGCCCAGGCCAGCAUCAGCUUUCCGUCGGGGGCAAAGACGUCGGGAAUGUAGCUCCCCCCCGGGGGAGUGUUAUAGCCCGGCGUGUCAUACCCUUCGGGAGGCUGAGGUACGCGCUCCGCAAGGAU